rnacentral:rRNA from 1 species
UACGGGGGGGGUAAGCGUUGUUCGGAAUUACUGGGCGUAAAGCGUGCGUAGACGGUUAUUUAAGUCGGGUGUGAAAGCCCCGGGCUCAACCUGGGAAUUGCAUUCGAGACUGAAUAGCUAGGGUACGGUAGAGGGAAGCGGAAUUUCCGGUGUAGCGGUGAAAUGCGUAGAUAUCGGAAGGAACAUCAGUGGCGGAAAGCGGCUUCCUGGACCAGUACCGGACGUUCAGGCACGAAAGCGUGGGGAGCAAACAGG